CACGUGAGUAACCUGCCCUUAACUCUGGGAUAAGCCUGGGAAACUGGGUCUAAUACCGGAUAGGAGCGUCUACCGCAUGGUGGGUGUUGGAAAGAUUUAUCGGUUUUGGAUGGACUCGCGGCCUAUCAGCUUGUUGGUGAGGUAAUGGCUCACCAAGGCGACGACGGGUAGCCGGCCUGAGAGGGUGACCGGCCACACUGGGACUGAGACACGGCCCAGACUCCUACGGGAGGCAGCAGUGGGGAAUAUUGCACAAUGGGCGCAAGCCUGAUGCAGCGACGCCGCGUGAGGGAUGACGGCCUUCGGGUUGUAAACCUCUUUCAGUAGGGAAGAAGCGAAAGUGACGGUACCUGCAGAAGAAGCACCGGCUAACUACGUGCCAGCAGCCGCGGUAAUACGUAGGGUGCGAGCGUUAUCCGGAAUUAUUGGGCGUAAAGAGCUCGUAGGCGGUUUGUCGCGUCUGUCGUGAAAGUCCGGGGCUUAACCCCGGAUCUGCGGUGGGUACGGGCAGACUAGAGUGCAGUAGGGGAGACUGGAAUUCCUGGUGUAGCGGUGGAAUGCGCAGAUAU
rnacentral:rRNA from 2 species